CAAUAAUAGAACAAAACCUGCCAAAGCCGUCUUUUCCCCUACUAGGUUCAGUAACGGGAAAUGUCAUUCAGAUGUCAUGGGACUGAUUUUUUGUUGUAUCAGGCCUUUACAGGUAGGCUGUGCCUUCAAUUCAAGAUAUGUGAUUUGUCAUUUAGUUAGCCGACUAUGCGUUACAUUUCUUUGGUUAAGAGCUGAGCAGAAUGGAUAAGUUUGCGUGCGUUUUGACAGUUUUACCAUGGGAAUUGUUCGUUAGCUAUUGUGGUGCCUAAGUCCGACACUGGGCGAGAAAUUAUAAGAAAGGGCAAUACGGGCCUGGAUAUGGGGGAUUAAAAGAAAGGGAUAGAUAAAUAAACAUAUAUUGUUGGAUAUUAUCUGAAAAACAGAUUGUGUUUUAUUGUCCGUAUUUUGGAGAGAACUUCUGGACUGCGGUUACCACAUUUGGCGACGAGGGUGAGCGUGCCGUGGAAGAAUAAAGGAGUAUACACUAAACUACACCUGUAGUAGCUGCUGUAUCGCAGCGGAAACGAAGGCUACCAGAUUAGCUACAAGAGCGGUAGAGUCGAUACUACACUACCAAAGGGUAGUAGCUGUAAAGAACAGCGAUAAAAGCCACCAGAGAGCGGCGGCUGCCAGUCAGCGAGUUGUAGGUCAUUUGAAAGUGACGGCUCGGAAGCAAAACUAUCUACUGAAACGUAGAGCCUAUUAAGAGCAGUGAGUUUGAUACCAUUUCGAAGUGGCUGUUUUAUCCAACGCAAAGCAGAUUGAAAGCAAAAGCUUUACUGACUGUCAGUGAAAGAAAUAAUAAUAUUGACAAAUUGUAACCGAUUGGAUCUCUAAAACAUUUCCGGCGAUGGAAAAGUGGGAUAUUCCGCAGUUCAAAUUUAAGUCCCUCUCAAGAAAUAUCGUGCGUGAUGAGUGGAUAAAGUAUAAAAGGAACUUCGGCUACAUAGUAUCCGCCACCAAUGAGACGAACAAGACACGCAUACGAAACAUUCUACUAGCGAAGGGCGGACCAGACCUCCAGGAGGUAUUCGCAUCAAUACCGGGUGCCGAUGUAGAAGAAGAUGCAGAGAAAUCGAUUGAUCCGUACGCUGUUGCAUUAGAGAAAUUAGAUUCGUACUUUUCACCGAAGCAACACGAUACGUUCGAACGGAACCGGUUUUGGCUAUUGAAACCGAACCCUGAAGAAUCUCUUGAGAAGUUUAUGCUCCGCUGUCAUGACCAGGCGAACAAAUGCGAUUUUGGGAAAUCAA